UACGUAGGGGGCUAGCGUUGUCCGGAAUCAUUGGGCGUAAAGCGCGUGUAAGCGGUCCGGUAAGUCCGCUGUGAAAGUCGGGGGCUCAACCCUCGAAAGCCGGUGGAAACUGUCGGGCUAGAGUGCGGAAGAGGCGAGUGGAAUUCCUGGUGUAGCGGUGAAAUGCGCAGAUAUCAGGAGGAACACCAAUUGCGAAGGCAGCUCGCUGGGACGUUACUGACGCUGAGACGCGAAAGCGUGGGGAGCAAACAGG
rnacentral:rRNA from 1 species